rnacentral:rRNA from 3 species
AGACCCGAAACCCGGUGAUCUAGCCAUGGGCAGGUUGAAGGUUGGGUAACACUAACUGGAGGACCGAACCGACUAAUGUUGAAAAAUUAGCGGAUGACCUGUGGCUGGGGGUGAAAGGCCAAUCAAACCGGGAGAUAGCUGGUUCUCCCCGAAAGCUAUUUAGGUAGCGCCUCGUGAAUUCAUCUCCGGGGGUAGAGCACUGUUUCGGCUAGGGGGCCAUCCCGGCUUACCAACCCGAUGCAAACUGCGAAUACCGGAGAAUGUUAUCACGGGAGACACACGGCGGGUGCUAACGUCCGUCGUGAAGAGGGAAACAACCCAGACCGCCAGCUAAGGUCCCAAAGUCAUGGUUAAGUGGGAAACGAUGUGGGAAGGCCCAGACAGCCAGGAUGUUGGCUUAGAAGCAGCCAUCAUUUAAAGAAAGCGUAAUAGCUCACUGGUCGAGUCGGCCUGCGCGGAAGAUGUAACGGGGCUAAACCAUGCACCGAAGCUGCGGCAGCGACGCUUAUGCGUUGUUGGGUAGGGGAGCGUUCUGUAAGCCUGUGAAGGUGGCCUGUGAGGG